rnacentral:lncRNA from 8 species
AUGGCUCUUAUUGGUUCAGUGACUUCCGCCUCAAUCUUCCUACUGCUUCUGUUGCUUUGGGCCGUACUACUGAUCAUUGAGAGAUUCAAACAGGUUCCAAAGUAUUGUCCUGAAGGUCUACAUUCUGAAGUAGACACAGCCUUCCCAUGGAAUACACUCCUCUCUAACAGCACAGAGACUGGAGAGAUACCACCAGUUACCCCAUCAGAGAGUCCCGGACCAACCCAGGACGCCCACCACAGAUGCCUAAGCUCACUCAGCCAUGAGGGUGAAGUACAUCCCACCUCUAUUGUCAUCAAUGUCACCACCAACAUCAAGCCAUCCCUUCAACAUGGAGGUGAAGACACCCCCUGGGAGGAUCAGAGAGGACACUGUCACACACCAGAGGAGAUGGAACAAAAACUGUUGGAAAUCUGCACAGUUUCUCAAGGUCAGAGUCUAGAGGAGCUAAACUAUGACACAGUCCAGGACCUGUCUCUGCUGCUGGACUCAGGGGGCUGUGGCCGGGGCAGCGGGGUGAGAAGGCUGGGCUAUUCCCUGGGUGUCACCCCUGAGGUCCUUUCUAACCUCCAUGGCUUCCAGGAUCUCUUCCAAUACCUGCGCACCUCCACCUACAUCCUACUGCCCCAACUGGCCCAGGCCGCCGCCCUCCUGCCCCGCCCUGACGUUGUUGCUAGGAUACACCGUGGUCUGGUGGCCAAUCACACAGAGACAUCCAGGCCCUAGGGACAUGUUGCCAAUCCCACCUUGGCCUGUGUGGCAUACAGUGCAUUCGGAAAGUAUUCAGGCUCCUUGACUUUUUCCACUUUUUGUUACGUUACAGCCUUAUUCUAAAAUGGAUUAAAUUGUUUUUUUCCCUCAUCAAUCUAAACACAAUACUCCAUACCGACAAAGCAAAAACAGGUAUUUAGAUUUUUUCCUCAAAAAACAUUAAAUAAUAAUAACAACUGAAAUAUCACAUUUACAUAAGUAUUCAGACCUUUUACUCGGUACUUUGUUGAAGCAGCUUUGGCAGCAAUUGUAGCCUCAAGUCUUCUUGGGUUUGACGCUACAAGCUUGGUACACCUGUAUUUGGGGAGAUUCUUCCAUUCUUCUCUACAGAUGCUCUCAAGCUCUGUCAAGUUGGAUUGGGAAUGUCGCUGCACAGCUAUUUUCAAGUCUCUCCAGAUAUGUUAAAUCGGGUUCAAGUCCGGGCUCUGGCUGGGCCAUUCAAGGAUAUUCAGAGACUUAUCCCCAAGCCACUCCUGGGUUGUCUUGGCUGUGUGCUUAGGGUCGUUGUCCUGUUGGAAGGUGAACCUUGUUGGAAGGUCAUGAGCGCUGACGUCCUGAACGUUUUGGAGCAGGUUUCAUCAAGGAUCUCUCUGUACUUUGCGCCGUUCAUCUUUCCCUCGAUCCUGACUAGUCUCCCAGUCCCUGCCGCUGAGAAACAUCCCCACAGCGUGAUGCUGUGGAGCUCUGUCAGAGUGACCAUCACCUCCCUGACCAAGGCCCUUCUCCCCUGAUUGAUCAGUUUGGCCUGGCAGCCAGCUCUAGAAAGAGUCUUGAUGGUUGCAAACUUCUUACAUCUAAGAAUGAUGGUUUACUGUGUUCUUGGAGACCUUCAAUGCUGCAGAAAUGUUUUGGUACCCUUCCAUAGAUCUGUGCCUCGACACAAUCUUGUCUCGCUCUACGGACAGUUCCUUCGACCUCAUGGCUUGGUUUUUGCUUUGACAUGCACUGUCAACUGUGGGACCUUGUAUAGACAGGUAUGUGCCUUUCUAAAUCAUGUCCAUUCAAUUGAAUUUACCACAGGUUGACUCCAAUCAAGUUGUAGAAACAUCUCAAGGAUGAUCAAUGGAAACAAGAUGCACCUGAGCUCAAUUUUGAGUCUCAUAGCAAAGGGUCUGAAUACUUAUUUAUUUUAUAAAACCUGUUUUUGCUUUGUCAUUAUUGGGUAUUGUGUGUAGAUUGAUGAAUAGAUUGAUGAAUAAGGCUGUAAUGUAACAAAAUGUGGAAAAAGUCAAGGGGUCUGAAUAAUUUCCAUGACACCAUGGAAAUUAUAGAGACAUAAAGUCUCAGCAUGUUAUGUCACACCAUGGGAAAGGGACACCAGUAUGGUGCAGAGUUUGAAAUUAUACUCUUGGAUAAUGCACUAGUUCUGCAAUUCAUUGUUAAAAAGUGGGACUGACGGACGGCUUGUUAUAUGGUACCAAUUAUGUCAAUGUUGGUUUAAUCAAGCAAAAUGGAACAGAACUUGACAGUUUGAAACGUGAUUUCUUUUGGGCUAUAAACUGCCAUUGCUUGUACACAUUUGGUUAAAUUAACCCAUUGAAUGUAUAGCCAUUACAUAUGUAAUACCGUUGAACUCCUUUCUGUUGCAUAAGACAGAAUGGUAUCAUUUGUUUGCAUAAGGUGUGAAUAGUCAGCACUGUAAUGUGACCUAGAGAGAUGACUUUGUCAUCCGAAUCACAGGAUGCAAAGCACAGAGACGUCAUCAUUAACCAUCAAAUAGUAUGUAAACGGCAGGCUGUGAACCCAUGACAAAUAUACCAUUGUGGGGUUUAUAGUAUGUUAUAGGUAUACUGGCCCAACAUCUCACAACCACUUCCAUUAUUUGUGAUGGUGGUCAGAGUGUUAAAUAACAUGGGGCUCUUCUGUAUCAUUCAGGGCAGUGUAACUGAACCCACAGUGUCAUGUUUCUCCCUGUUUUCCAUGUAAAAUUAAUGAGGGCCCGCUGGCUAAGGCAUGUGAGAUGGGGUAGGACAGAAGCAUUAGUGUUGGAUGGAAAUAGGGAGAACAUGUUUUCUAUAUGGGAGGGGUUGGUUCACCACUGCAGCAAAAUCUCCUCAGACUCUCCAGCUUUCUCCAUAAGGUAAGUCCUCAAGGAGACUUUGUAUUUAUGCUAUGACAGCAAUACAUAUAAUGUUUAUACAAAACAAUAUAUAUUAAAUGUAACCUUUAUUUAACUAGGCAAGUCAGUUAAGAACAUAUUCUUAUUUUCAAUGACGGCCUACUCCAACCAAACCCGGACGACGCCGGGCGAAUUGUGCGCUGCCCUAUGGUACUCCCAACCACGGCCGGAUGUGAUACAGCCUGGAUUCAAACCAGGGACUGUAGUGACGCAUCCUGCACUGCGAUGCAGUGCCUUAGACUGUGGCGCCACUCGGGAGGCCUAAUAUUACUUACCACCUGUGUUCUAAUUAAACUUCCAUUGGAAUAAAACAUGCAUACAUUAUCAUUCCAUAAUCUGUGCUUUGAAAGGAUUUCACCAUCAACAUGUCAAAAUACACGAUAAGCAACAGUUGUCUACUGUCAACCAUAAAUUCUCACGCUAGGUGACGCUAUUGCCUAUUAUUGGCUCGUUCCCUUGUUUUACUUGGAUGUCCACGUACCCGCGGAUUAUGCGCGUCUCUGGGUAAUGUGCCAUAAAAAAAAUAG